CCGCGGUUCAUUGUUUUUCUGUGUCAAGGAUGCCUGACAACAGAUGGGGAAGCAGUUUACCAGAAGGCCGGCACUCAGCCUCAUGGAGAGGGAGUCCAAAAGGCAAGGGCUGACUAUUGAUUACAAGGAAGACCUCCGAGCGAGCUGAAGAUAGCAGAGCUGCCGGCAGUAUGGGCUCCUGAAUCGACACACAGUGGAGCCAACCACCUGCCCGUGCCCUCACCGCACCCUGAGCCGGGAUGUGAGAAAUAAACUUCGACUGGGACGUCGUGGCA